rnacentral:lncRNA from 1 species
UUAGGAUAAAAAUAUAUUAAUUUACUCAAUAAACUUAUCUAAAAAGACAGGAUAUACUCUAAUCCCAAAAGAUUGAAGUUGUUGUUUAAUAUAGUCCGGAAUUGGAUUGCCAACCGCAUCUAUAGUAGUAACUAGACCGAAAAAUUUGCCGCAGCAAGAGCCUUGCAAAUAUUUGGGGCAAUUUGACUCGGGCGACAAGUUUU